UACGGGGGGGGGGCAAGCGUUUGUUCGGAAUUACUGGGCUAAAGGGCUCGUAGGUGGCCAACUAAGUCAGACGUGAAAUCCCUCGGCUUAACCGGGGAACUGCGUCUGAUACUGGAUGGCUUGAGAUUGGGAGAGGGAUGCGGAAUUCCAGUGUAGCGGUGAAAUGCGUAGAUAUCUGGAGGAACACCGGUGGCGAAGGCGGCAUCCUGGACCAUUCUGAC
rnacentral:rRNA from 1 species